UUGGAGGGCAAGUCUGGUGCCAGCAGCCGCGGUAAUUCCAGCUCCAAUAGCGUAUAUUAAAGUUGUUGCAGUUAAAAAGCUCGUAGUUGAAUUUCGGGGUCAGUAGGUUGGUCGUGCCACCGGUACGUACUGGUCUCACUGAUUCCUCCUUCCUGAAGAACCGUAAUGCCAUUAAUUUGGUGUUGCGGGGAAACAGGACUGUUACUCUGAAAAAAUUAGAGUGUUUAAAGCAAGCUAACGCUUGAAUACAUUAGCAUGGAAUAAUGAAAUAGGACGAUCGAUCCUAUUUUGUUGGUUUCUAGGAUUGACGUAAUGAUUAAUAGGGAUAGUUGGGGGCAUUAGUAUUCAAUUGUCAGAGGUGAAAUUCUUGGAUUUAUUGAAGACUAACUACUGCGAAAGCAUUUGCCAAGGAUGUUUUCAUUAAUCAAGAACGAAAGUUAGGGGAUCGAAGACGAUCAGAUACCGUCGUAGUCUUAACCAUAAACUAUGCCGACUAGGGAUCGGAUGAUGUUAAUUUUAUAAUGACUCAUUCGGCGCCUUACGGGAAACCAAAGUGUUUGGGUUCCGGGGGGAGUAUGGUCGCAAGGCUGAAACUUAAAGGAAUUGACGGAAGGGCACCACCAGGGCUGGAGCCUGCGGCUUAAUUUGACUCAACACGGGGAAACUCACCAGGUCCAGACAUAGUAAGGAUUGACAGAUUGAGAGCUCUUUCUUGAUUCUGUGGGUGGUGGUGCAUGGCCGUUCUUAGUUGGUGGAGUGAUUUGUCUGGUUAAUUCCGAUAACGAACGAGACCUUAACCUGCUAAAUAGCUAAGCCUAGCAUUGUUAGGUCGCCAGCUUCUUAGAGGGACUAUCGGUGUUUAACCGAUGGAAGUUUGAGGCAAUAACAGGUCUGUGAUGCCCUUAGAUGUUCUGGGCCGCACGCGCGCUACACUGAUGAAGUCAACGAGUUCAUUUCCUUCAUCGGAAGAUGUGGGUAAUCUUUUGAAACUUCAUCGUGCUGGGGAUAGAGCAUUGCAAUUAUUGCUCUUGAACGAGGAAUCCCUAGUAAGCACAAGUCAUUAGCUUGUGCUGAUUACGUCCCUGCCCUUUGUACACACCACCCGUCGCUACUACCGAUUGAAUGGCUUAGUGAGGCCUUCGGAUUGAGGUUUGGAGACUGGCAACAGACUCC
rnacentral:rRNA from 1 species